AGCUUUGCUCAGUGGCGGUAUCACAGCCAAUGAGCUUUAUCCAAGGCACAAUUAUUGGUAACUGAAAGCUUUUCCCAAAACCCCACCAUGACGACUUGAAUUAUAGUCAGCACUGGCAAUUUCUUUUUCUUUUUUCUUUUAUAUUAAA